rnacentral:lncRNA from 1 species
UGACACUGAUACACAUGCAAAUACAUCCUGACACAGAAAAAAAGAAAGAAUCCUGGACAUUCUUGAACCAUGAAGUACUUAUGUCACAUACAAAUUAGUUCACAUGGAAGUCAAUGUUUACAAAUAAGAGUAAUUGGAAAUGGAAUGAAAUGUAUGCGUAUGCAUACUUCCAUUUCCAGUCUAGCUGAGCAGCCUUGAGUAAGUUACAAAGCCUCUGUGAGCCCCAUUCUCCUCAUGAAGAAAACGAGGGUAAUAAUAUCCAACAAUGAAGGAGUCUUUGAUAAUUAAAAAGCUAGUAAAGCAUAUAGUACAGUGCCCAGCACAGAGCAAGUGGAAAAUGCUAUUUACAGCUACUUCUACGGUGAUGAUGAUUG